GAUGAACGCUGGCGGCGUGCCUAAUACAUGCAAGUCGAGCGAACAGACGAGGAGCUUGCUCCUCUGACGUUAGCGGCGGACGGGGGAGUAACACGUGGAUAACCUACCUAUAAGACUGGGAUAACUUCGGGAAACCGGAGCUAAUACCGGAUAAUAUAUUGAACCGCAGGGUUCAAUAGUGAAAGACGGUUUUGCUGUCACUUAUAGAUGGAUCCGCGCCGCAUUAGCUAGUUGGUAAGGUAACGGCUUACCAAGGCAACGAUGCGUAGCCGACCUGAGAGGGUGAUCGGCCACACUGGAACUGAGACACGGUCCAGACUCCUACGGGAGGCAGCAGUAGGGAAUCUUCCGCAAUGGGCGAAAGCCUGACGGAGCAACGCCGCGUGAGUGAUGAAGGUCUUCGGAUCGUAAAACUCUGUUAUUAGGGAAGAACAAAUGUGUAAGUAACUAUGCACGUCUUGACGGUACCUAAUCAGAAAGCCACGGCUAACUACGUG
rnacentral:rRNA from 1 species